AUAGAAAGUCAUAGGCCUACAUAUCUUGGAUGGCAUGAGGCAAUCCUUUUAGAACAGACCUGUGACAGUCAUAUUCUGUACCCUAAAAUGAGCAGAAAGUGUUUGUAUGAGGAAGCCACAUGGGAAAGUAUGGACACUGUGUCAACAUUUUCUGUGGGUGCAUGGAGCCAGGGCGGGGAG